GAAACGUAUCACCAACCGCGAUCUCGUAUGUCUUUCAGCCAACACGGCCACCACGGACGUUAAUUGCCAAACACGGAUCUUCGCUCCCGAUCAACUCGAUGUCACCAACUCCAACGCCUCCAACGUCACCAACUCCAUGCCACUCGAUCACACAACCAUUGUAUCGAUUUUUACGAAUCGAUUGUAAAAGAGCGUCGACGUCACAGUUCUCAAUAAAAUUUGUCGAUGCAAUUUCAACAAGAAGGAAAUGUUUUUUUCUUUUGGAGUAUUUUAAUGAUAAUUAAUCUCAUCAAGUGCUGUGUUAGCUUUAAGCCAGUUUUAAGGCAAUGGCAGGGUACAGAAGGGUGAAUUAUUACGAACUUUGUCGUCUUUGUACAUCAAGUGAAGGUACCAAAAUGCACAUAUUCCGCGAAGAGGGACGUCGAAGGCAACUCCCAACAAAAAUUCAGAUCUGUCUACCACUUCAGGUAUGUGAAGAUGAUUCAUUGCCCAAGAUUAUCUGCAGUCAUUGCGUGGACAAAUUGGAAAGUUUUUAUGACUUUCGGGAAUCCUGUGUCAAUGCGGAAGCUAUGUUGGAGAGCUAUUUCACAUCUCUUCGCUUUUCAGAUGACUUCACACGUGAAGGAAAGGUAUAUGUGAAGGAUGAGAGUCCACCGAAGAAAAAGGCAACUACAUCUGUGGCUGUUGCAACAACAGCCAACUCUGAUGUAGAGAAACACGAGCACAACAAGGCUGGAGCGCCUCUGACGGCUGCCACAGAUGGUUUAAACAGUCUAGUCCAGGCAGCUGGUAUUCAGAUUGUGAGUGAUGCAGAUGGAACCAGAGUUCAGCAAUAUAAAUGUGCCAUGCAGAUGCAGCCUGGAUCUGCAGGACCCACAGUAGUGGAGGCAGCAGCCACAGAGGCAUGCUACAGCUAUGAGUGCACUACUGCUAGCACACGCACCACUGACACAAACCCAGUUGUUGCACAAGUAACAGCAAAGGUGGAAGAUGGAAGCACCCAGUGCAGCGAGACAGACUUUGCAAACAAGGUUAUAUCUGCUAGGCAUCAUCAGUCACCAGAGAACAGUGAGGAAAGUGAUAUGUCUGCUCAGCAGCAGCAGCAUGCAGCUGCGGCAGUAGCUUUCACCACAGCAGGACCAGGCCAGGAGAUGCUAGUACAUUUCAAUUUCAACAAAGACAGAGAGGGACUUUUCCGAUCUGAUGAUCACACAGCUCUGCAGAGAUCCUCAAUAGCUCAGAUUGGCGAAUUUCUGCGUAUGAAGAGUGUUAAUAUCAUCGAUGGGACUUCUGGUCCUACAGCAACACUAGUUGAAGUUGCUGCAGCUCCAAAUACUCCUCGGCAUUGUGAACGUUGUGGCAAAAUUUUUGCUUCCCUUGAAGAACUUCAUUCACAUUCACCUUGUAAUUGCACGACAAAUCAUGAAUCAGAGAACACUGUUGCAGACAGGAACACUGGAAAUACGGCAGGCAGUGGUGGUAGCUUUGGUUGCGAGAUCUGUGGUAAGCCAUUCAAGAGAAAAGAGCAUCUAUUUCAACACAGGAAACUGCACACUGGUGAAAGGCCGUAUGUAUGUGUGUCAUGCGGUAAGGCAUUCAGUCGCAAAGAACAUCUGGUCCGACAUGCUGUAUCACACACGGGACAGAAGAUGCACGGUUGUGACCUAUGUGGAAAAACUUUUAGUCGAAAGGACAAUUUACACAAACAUCGCAAAACUCAUGGUAUAGCUGGGCCAUAUAUUUGUGAAACAUGUGGUAAGUCUUUCGUUGUGAAACACUAUUACCUGAUGCAUCGAGGAAGUCAUGCCACUCCUGGCUCGUCCAUGGCAAACAGCGAUGGAACUGGUGAAGGUAAUGGUGGCACUGUAACAGCUGAAAAUCCCCUCCCAUACAAAUGUGACAUUUGCAAUAAGGGAUUUGCAAUGAAGCAGUAUCUUAUUACACACAAACAGAGACAUCGAAAUAAGAACCAGCAGCAGUUACAGGGUGGGCAGGCUGCAACAAAUACACCAAAUCUUGGACAGUCGCAGAGUAAUCAAGUCAAAGUGGAGGAUGUUGGUACUAGUGAAGCCCAUGUGACUGGAGCUCUUAGUCACAAUAAUGUUCCACUGACAACAAUUAACAACACUGCUCUUCUCACACCAAGCAUCUUGCAACAUGUGACAACACAACCAAAUGCUGGGACUCCUGCUGGAAGUAACUCUGCUACGGCAGCCAUGAUUCAGGUGUCUUCUUCUGCUGCCACAGCCUACCUCUGUGCACCAACAACAGUAGCUGCUAAUGAAUUGCUCGAAACCUAUAGGCGGUUGCAUUCUGCAUGAUAGUGGGUAGUAAGGGUGGAGCUAACAGUGACUUAUUGCUCCAUUUCAGUGGAAUUGGUUUCAUAUUUGUUGGUUUUCAUAAAGAUUCUCUUCUUACCCUGACAGUACUGCUGGACAUGUAUGGUAAUAUAACAGGCAUUACAACUUCUUGAGCUGAUGCAGUUCAUCUUGUAGCCGAGCUUAUUGCUGUCCUCAGUUCCUUUGGCAUAUCAGCACCUCUUACAACCAUUUUAACUUAUUUUGGAGUCAUGAUGGAUAUAAAUAACAUAUAUUUAUGGAUAAAAUUUGAGCACCAAGAGCACAGCUGAUUCUUUACAGUCACAACCAUGGAUCAAUAGCAAUGUGUGCGGAUAUACUAGGAAGGUGGGAUAUCUGAUUCUCCCCACAUGUUACGUUAUGUAUUUCUCUGCUCGUGUUAAAAAAGGGAAUAAAAACUUUUACAGACAGGUUAUUCGUUAUAGAAGAAAUGAAAUUUGUUAAGUGAAAAACAAAUAUGAAUUAACAUGCAUUGUUGUAGCAAAAAUUUGCAUAUUGAGUCUUCAUAAAAUGAGGGACAUGUGUACAUGAUAUGAGAAAGUACUGUGAUCAUGAAACCCUAGAUCUGUCGCAUCACUAAUUAUAUGACCAGUUGCAAGAGCAUGCCAAGAGUUCAAUAAUGAAAAAAAGUCUUCACCAUAUGUUGCCCCAAGUUGUAACAGAAUCCCAUCUAUCUUGCAGAACAACGGUGAUAACAGGGAAGUGAUACUUCUGGGUGAUAUCCCCUAUAUAAGCAGGCAGAAAAUCUCCACUGAAGUGAAUCAAGUACCCCUAAGACCAGUGUUGUGGGUGCAAAUGAUGGACCGUGUCUUGGACGCUCAUGCACACAGACAUUUGCAGUCCAAUGUAGUUCCCUCACCUGAAGUAUUAUCUGUUGAUAAUUCAACCUAAUAUGGGUCUUGAUAUGAUCAGCCUUGUAUUUAAGAAAAAACAAACUUGUGAGAGUUGAGGUGUUGGUAGUAUCCCAUGUUGGUUGGAAUGUCCCUGAUCCUCUGGUUGUGAGAUUCACCUCACAGUUGGUAGCUAAUGAUGCACUAUUGAGGACAUCCAUAAUAUUUGGUGGAGUAACCUCCUCUCUCCUUACCCAAGACUCCAGGUGCCUAAGUGUCAGGGCAUGCUUCAUAUAUUGUCUUAGUAAUGGAUAAUUUAUCCCUUAGUUCAGUUAAUACCCGAUGCCUUGCACAUGGACGCUUCAUGAAGAGCAGGUCUUCACACUCAUCUAGGGUAAUGGGUAGGGAUAAGUGACUAUCGGGUGGUGUCGCACUGUCGUCUUCCAUUCUGUGCUGCAGUGGUAUUUUUUAUCUUUUUCUAAAUAAUCCAUAACUACAAUGCUUAACAUACCUUAUCCCAUACUUAACAAAAUAAACUCAAACAUUGUAUAUUUAUAUACAAUAUAUAUAUAAAGAAAUACUUGGAAAAAAAAAGUAUGUGUGUGUGUGUGUAGCUUUUUAGAAGCAGAACCGUUGGACAGACUUUAUUUAUACACUGAUAUAUUGGGUUUUUGGACUUUAGCCAUCGUCCUGGUUUUUAAGAUAACUAAUAAAAACAC